GACGAACGCUGGCGGCGUGCUUAACACAUGCGAGUCGAACGGAAAGGCCCUGCUUUUGUGGGGUGCUCGAGUGGCGAACGGGUGAGUAACACGUGAGUAACCUGCCCUUGACUUUGGGAUAACUUCAGGAAACUGGGGCUAAUACCGGAUAGGAGCUCCUGCUGCAUGGUGGGGGUUGGAAAGUUUCGGCGGUUGGGGAUGGACUCGCGGCUUAUUAGCUUGUUGGUGGGGUAGUGGCUUACCAAGGCUUUGACGGGUAGCCGGCCUGAGAGGGUGACCGGCCACAUUGGGACUGAGAUAUGGCCCAGACUCCUACGGGAGGCAGCAGUGGGGAAUAUUGCACAAUGGGCGGAAGCCUGAUGCAGCAACGCCGCGUGCGGGAUGACGGCCUUCGGGUUGUAAACCGCUUUCGCCUGUGACGAAGCGUGAGUGACGGUAAUGGGUAAAGAAGCACCGGCUAACUACGUG
rnacentral:rRNA from 1 species